CAAAAGGGUAGAGAAACUUAGGCCAUAGAAGCAACCAGUCUUUCACGCACAGCAAAUGUUCUCCAAAUGCCCACCUUUGUCAGUCCUUCAAUAUGUCUGUAUCAAAUAUGUUGCUGCAAUUCUUAUGGGCUUCCAAUCUUUGUUUCUGCUUCUUAUGUUGAUUGUUCCAUCAGAGCACAGCUUUAGCUGUAGAGGCAGGAAAUGCAUCUUCUACUUCCACUAGGGUGUAUCCUCUCUCCCACUGAAGAUAUCCAGCAGACAGGUAAGAUAGGAAGCUUUGAAAAAUCAGCAAU
rnacentral:misc_RNA from 1 species